UGAGGAGCACAGAUGACAUUUUGUCACAUGGU
rnacentral:piRNA from 1 species